CUCGGCUCUCCAACAAACCUUAACACCCUUGAUUCAAUCUCCUGAUUGAAUCAAGUAAGAAACAAAUAGGUUGAAAUAAAUAAAAAAGGAAGCUUCUCAAUAAGCGUAUUUAAACAAUAUAAGCAGGGAAGAGUAAGAAGCCCUCAAACUGAUUUUGGAGAUGGAGGAAGGGGCUUUUCAAACUCUUUGACUCCUCUUGAAUUUGAUGUAGACUUGCUGUCAGGAGGAGAGCCUUGAAUGUGAGGAAGACAGUUGGAGAGUAGACUUCAAUGCACUUCUUCCUU
rnacentral:lncRNA from 1 species